rnacentral:rRNA from 1 species
UACAGAGGGUGCGAGCGUUGUUCGGAAUUAUUGGGCGUAAAGGGCGCGUAGGCGGUGCGGUAAGUCACCUGUGAAAUCUCCUGGCUCAACUGGGAGCUUGCAGGCGAAACUGCCGUGCUGGAGUGUGGGAGAGGUGCGUGGAAUUCCUGGUGUAGCGGUGAAAUGCGUAGAUAUCAGGAGGAACACCUGUGGCGAAAGCGGCUCUCUGGGACGGUACUGACGCUGAGACGCGAAAGCGUGGGGAGCGAACAGG